CUACGUGCCAGCAGCCGCGGUAAUACGUAGGUGGCAAGCGUUGUCCGGAAUUAUUGGGCGUAAAGCACGCGCAGGCGGAUUGGUCAGUCUGUCUUAAAAGUUCGGGGCUUAACCCCGUGAUGGGAUGGAAACUGCCAAUCUAGAGUAUCGGAGAGGAAAGUGGAAUUCCUAGUGUAGCGGUGAAAUGCGUAGAUAUUAGGAAGAACACCAGUGGCGAAGGCGACUUUCUGGACGAAAACUGACGCUGAGGCGCGAAAGCCAGGGGAGCGAACGGGAUUAGAUACCCCGGUAGUCCUGGCCGUAAACGAUGGGUACUAGGUGUAGGAGGUAUCGACCCCUUCUGUGCCGGAGUUAACGCAAUAAGUACCCCGCCUGGGGAGUACGACCGCAAGGUUGAAACUCAAAGGAAUUGACGGGGGCCCGCACAAGCGGUGGAGUAUGUGGUUUAAUUCGACGCAACGCGAAGAACCUUACCAGGUCUUGACAU
rnacentral:rRNA from 1 species